CAGCAGUCGCCGCGGGAAUACAGAGGGUGCGAGCGUUAAUCGGAUUUACUGGGCGUAAAGCGUGCGUAGGUGGUGGUUUAAGUCCGUUGUGAAAGCCCUGGGCUCAACCUGGGAAUUGCAGUGGAUACUGGGUCACUAGAGUGUGGUAGAGGAUAGUGGAAUUUCCGGUGUAGCAGUGAAAUGCGUAGAGAUCGGAAGGAACAUCUGUGGCGAAGGCGACUAUCUGGGCCAACACUGACACUGAGGCACGAAAGCGUGGGGAGCAAACAGGAUUAGAUACCCCGGUAGUCCCUGUCUCUUAUAC
rnacentral:rRNA from 1 species